AUUGAACGCUGGCGGCAGGCCUAACACAUGCAAGUCGAACGAGUGGCGGACGGGUGAGUAAUGUCUGGGAAACUGCCUGAUGGAGGGGGAUAACUACUGGAAACGGUAGCUAAUACCGCAUACCAUCGGAUGUGCCCAGAUGGGAUUAGCUAGUAGGUGGGGUAAAGGCUCACCUAGGCGACGAUCCCUAGCUGGUCUGAGAGGAUGACCAGCCACACUGGAACUGAGACACGGUCCAGAGUCCUACGGGAGGCAGCAGUGGGGAAUAUUGGACAAUGGGCGGAAGGCUGAUGCAGCCAUGCCGCGUGGAUGAAGAAGGCCUUCGGGUUGUAAAGUACUUGCAGCGGGGAGGCGUUACCUACAGAAGAAGCACCGGCUAACUACGUGCCAGCAGCCGCGGUAAUUC
rnacentral:rRNA from 1 species